UUGCGCUCCCGGGAUAUGCCUGGGAGCAUGCUUGUCGGGGAGGAGGAGGCGAAAACUCGCCCACAGCUUUGGGUUCGAUCUCGACCUCAAGGCGGUGGAGCGGAAUCUGAGUGUUCCGGGGAGCGGUAGUGUGGUGUGUACUUUUGUACAUACUGCCUGUUCGUCCCCUGAGUCCACCCAAGCCUAGAGAGCUACCGAUUGUCCGGGCUUCUAUUGUCUUUGCGGCGCUGGAGACAGGUCUACCUUGCGUCCUCCGGAAGAUACGUUGUUGACGCCGGGGAUGUGCGCGGGUGACUUUGAGGUGUCGCUGGAGGCAAGUUCACCUUGCGUCCUCCGGAGGAUCUGUUGUUGACGGCGCCCCAUAUCGCGGGGCGGGGACAUGACGGGUCGCCGGGGAUGUGCGCAGGUGGCCUUGAGGCUUGGAACGUUAGGCAGUCUCGAGAGUGCCGGUGAGAGACCGGUGAUUAUGAUUAUGCCAUACCCCCGAUCAAGCAAGAAGACCCGCCGAAUUUAAGCAUAUACUAAGCGGAGGAA
rnacentral:misc_RNA from 1 species